rnacentral:tRNA from 1 species
GGGGCGUUAGCUCAGUUGGCUAGAGCGUUUGACUGGCAGUCAAGAGGUCGUGAGUUCGAUUCUCAUACGCUCCA